UACAGAGGUCUCAAGCGUUGUUCGGAUUCAUUGGGCGUAAAGGGUGCGCAGGCGGCGCGGUAAGACAGGUGUGAAAUCUCGGGGCUUAACUCCGAAACUGCAUUCGAUACUGCCGUGCUUGAGGACUGGAGAGGAGGCUGGAAUUCCUGGUGUAGCGGUGAAAUGCGCAGAUAUCAGGAGGAACACCGAUGGCGAAGGCAGGUCUCUGGGCCGAUAUUGACGCUGAGGAGCGAAAGCGUGGGGAGCGAACAGG
rnacentral:rRNA from 1 species